rnacentral:sRNA from 1 species
UGCAUAGCUAGACGCGGUUGAUCUAGCGGUGCUAUCGCGACCAUGUCUUUCAGAGGAAUGGGUGGAUGAAGCAGGGGCGUGAUGGUCAUCUACGUUUACUCGACCAAUUCCUCGAUCGUCACCUCGGGAAGUGUGAGGAGUAGUAGUGGAAGACGACUUGCGCCUGGAGCUUGAAGAAGAAGAAGAGGGGUGGUCGUGGUCACCUCUGCGACGGCGGGGAGAAGACGAAGAAAUGGUGGAAACGUCAUCAGAGUCUCUCUGACGGCGGCGGGACUUGGAGGAGCUGGUAGAGGAGACCGGAGGAUCGGUAACCUUUCCGAGCAGGCUGCGCAGCAUUAUGAAAGAGUGGUGAGUAUCAUGUCAGUAGGGAUUGAGUAAGUUCAAGUGAUAUUUGGAGUAUCGUAGAUCCAGAAGAGAAGGUAGAUAUGGUUAUAUAUGUCCUCCAGCAGUUGGUUGUUGUUGUUGUUUGUUGUUUACCAGGGAAGCAUUUAGCGCAGGAUCUUAGUUAGGGCUCCAAAACCCCGAACCGAGGAGGAAGUUUGGUUGGCAGAUAAGGUGGCUAGGGAUCCUUGGGAAUGGCCCGUAUGGACCAAAGUUAACCACAAAUACAGCUAUCACUUAUGUCGUAAACAGUCAUAGACCCAUCAGAAGGGGGUAAAACGAUAAAUAUACACAAGAAAGGGAUCGGGGACGUGGAGAGGUAUGGUGGAUGGAGAUGGAGAUGGAGU